CCCUUAGAUGUUCUGGGCCGCACGCGCGCUACACUGACGAAUGCAACGAGCUUAUAACCUUGGCCGAAAGGUCUGGGUAAUCUCCAAAUUUCGUCGUGAUGGGGAUAGAUUAUUGCAAUUAUUAAUCUUCAACGAGGAAUGCCUAGUAAGCGCAAGUCAUCAGCUUGCGUUGAUUACGUCCCUGCCCUUUGUACACACCGCCCGUCGCUCCUACCAAUUGAAUGGUCCGGUGAAGCGCUCGGACCGCGGCCUCUUGACGGUUUUCCGUCGAUUGGCUGUGGGAAGUUCGUUAAACCUUAUCAUUUAGAGGAAGGAGAAGUCGUAACA
rnacentral:rRNA from 1 species